rnacentral:rRNA from 1 species
ACGGUCCUACGGGGCGCAGCAGUGAGGAAUAUUGGUCAAUGGCCGUAAGGCUGAACCAGCCAAGUCGCGUGAGGGAUGACGGUACUAUGGAUUGUAAACCUCUUUUGUCGGGGAGCAAAGGACGCCACGGGUGGUGUUUUGCGAGUACCCGAAGAAAAAGCAUCGGCUAACUCCGCGCCAGCAGCCGCGGCAAUACGGACGAUGCGAGCGUUAUUCGGAUUUAUUGGGUUUAAAGGGUGCGCAGGCGGAAUGUCAAGUCAGAGGUAAAAUUUCGGG